rnacentral:rRNA from 1 species
GAUGAACGCUGGCGGCGUGCCUAAUACAUGCAAGUCGAACGCCCCGCAAGGGGAGUGGCGCACGGGUGAGUAACGCGUGGGAAUAUGCCCUUCGGUUCGGAAUAACACAGGGAAACUUGUGCUAAUACCGGAUACGAUCUACGGAUGAAAGAUUUAUCGCCGAGGGAGUAGCCCGCGUAGGAUUAGCUAGUUGGUGAGGUAAUGGCUCACCAAGGCGACGAUCCUUAGCUGGUCUGAGAGGAUGAUCAGCCACACUGGGACUGAGACACGGCCCAGACUCCUACGGGAGGCAGCAGUGGGGAAUAUUGGACAAUGGGCGAAAGCCUGAUCCAGCCAUGCCGCGUGAGUGAUGAAGGCCUUGGGGUUGUAAAGCUCUUUCGCCAGGGAAGAUAAUAACGGUACCUGGAAAAGAAGCCUCGGCUAACUCCGUGCCAGCCGCCGCGGUAA